AUAGCCAGUUGGGGAAGAAUGCCCGUGUCUUAAAGUGAGAAGGUUUGUUCUCCAACCUGGCUCUUU
ensembl:miRNA